rnacentral:rRNA from 1 species
CACGUAGGGCGCAAGCGUUGUCCGGAAUUAUUGGGCGUAAAGAGCUCGUAGGCGGUCUGUUGCGUCUGCUGUGAAAACUCGGGGCUUAACCCCGAGCCUGCAGUGGAUACGGGCAGACUAGAGGUAGGUAGGGGAGAAUGGAAUUCCCGGUGUAGCGGUGAAAUGCGCAGAUAUCAGGAGGAACACCAGUGGCGAAGGCGGCUCACUGGUCCGGUACUGACGCUGAGGUGCGAAAGCGUGGGGAGCAAACAGG